rnacentral:ncRNA from 1 species
CAGAAUCAGUGGGGAAAGAAGACCCUAUUGAGCUUGACUCUAGUCCGACUUUGUGAAAUGACUUGAGAGGUGUAGAAUAAGUGGGAGUCGUUUUCGGCGCAAGUGAAAUACCACUACUUUUAAUGUUAUUUUACUUAUUUCGUUGGGCGGAGAUGGGGCAUUGCCCCUGUUUUUGGCCUUAAGACACGUUUCGACGGGUCGAUCUGGGCGGAAGACAUUGUCAGGUGGGGAGUUUGGCUGGGGCGACACAUCUGUUAAAAGAUAAUGCAGGUGUCCUAAGAUGAGCUCAACGAGAACAUAAAUCUCAUGUGGAACAAAAGGGUAAAAGAUCAUUUGAUUUUGAUUUUCAGUACAAAUACAAACCGUGAAAGCGUGGCCUAUCGAUCCUUUAGACUUUCAUAAUUUGAAGCUAGAGGUGUCAGAAAAGUUACCACAUGGAUAACUGGCUUGUGGCAGCCAAGCGUUCAUAGCGACGUUUCUUUUUUAUCCUUCGAUGUUGACUCUUCCUAUCAUUGUGAAGUAGAAUUCACCAAGUGUUGGAUUGUUCACCCACCAAUAGGGAUCGUGAGCUGGGUUUAGACCAUCGUGAGACAGGUUAGUUUUACCCUACUGAUGAACUGCGUCGCAAUAGUAAUUCAACUUAGUACGAGAGGAACCGUUGAUUCACACAACUGGUCAUCGCGCUUGGUUGAAAAUCCAGUGGCAUGAAGCUACCGUGUGUCGGAUUAUGACUGAACGCCUCUAAGUCAGAAUCCACGCUAGAAGCGGCGCUUGUCACUCCUUGACUGUAUCUUGACCCGCAGUAGGGGUGUCGCUUUGGCACCCCCAGGGGCCCGUGUCACUUGCGAACCUCGGUCGGGAAGCGUCUCGGUCGGGGCAGCUUUUAAGUUCAAUUUCAAACGGUCGUUGAGAAGAAUCCUUUGCAGACGACUUAAAUACGUGACGGGGUAUUGUAAGUGGCAGAGUGGCCUUGCUACCACGAUCCAUUAAGAUUCAACCCUCCAUCGCCUCGAUUC